CCGAGUUUACAACUCCCAAACCCCUGUGAACAUACCAAUUGUUGCCUCGGCGGAUCAGCCCGCUCCCGGUAAAACGGGACGGGCCCGCCAGAGGACCCCUAAACUCUGUUUCUAUAUGUAACUUCUGAGUAAAAACCAUAAAUAAAUCA
rnacentral:misc_RNA from 1 species